rfam:Otolemur garnettii contig143613, whole genome shotgun sequence.
GCUGGACGAGGUGGUGCGUGUGGCACCUGUAGCGCCUGCUGUCCCAGCUACUCGGGAGGCUGAGACAGGAGGAUGGCUUGAGUCCAGGAGUUCUGGGCUGUAGUGUGCUAUGCUGAUCCAGUGUCUGCACUAAGUUCGGCCUCAAUAUGGUGACCUCUUGGGAACGGGAGGCCACCAGGUUGCCUAAGGAGUGGUGAACCAGUCCAGGUCAGAAACGGAAUAGGUCAGAACUCCCAUGCUGAUCAGUAGUGGGAUUGUACUUGUGAGUAGCCACUGCACUCCAGCCUGGGCAACAUAACGAGACCCCAUCUCUU